rnacentral:rRNA from 1 species
CCUACGGGUGGCAGCAGUGGGGAAUAUUGGACAAUGGGCGAAAGCCUGAUCCAGCCAUGCCGCGUGUGUGAAGAAGGCCUUCGGGUUGUAAAGCACUUUCAGUGGGGAAGAAAGCCUUGGGGCUAAUACCCUCGAGGAAGGACAUCACCCACAGAAGAAGCACCGGCUAACUCCGUGCCAGCAGCCGAGGUAAUACGGAGGGUGCGAGCGUUAAUCGGAAUUACUGGGCUUAAAGCGCGCGUAGGCGGUCUGAUAAGCCGGUUGUGAAAGCCCCGGGCUCAACCUGGGAACGGCAUCCGGAACUGUCAGGCUAGAGUGCAGGAGAGGAAGGUAGAAUUCCCGGUGUAGCGGUGAAAUGCGUAGAGAUCGGGAGGAAUACCAGUGGCGAAGGCGGCCUUCUGGUCUGACACUGACGCUGAGGUGCGAAAGCGUGGGUAGCAAACAGGAUUAGAUACCCCAGUAGUC